ACCACGAAGUUGUGAUGAGUUAUUGGAAUUAUAUGAAUGAAGUUGCUGUUGCUUUAGGUGCCCAUGAAAAAAAUGCUCCUUUGAGUCAACUGGGCAAUUUGAUAUUCGAAAUGUCACUUUUCAACUAUGUUUUUGCGGAAAAAAUAAUGAGUGAGUGGCACCGUCAAUACACCAGGACAACUCUCAACGAGCUGACAGAAAAAUUUCCGGAACUCGGUUUUCAAGAAUUUUUCAGCCGUUAUGAUAACCCAACGAUUCUGUUACCAGUGGACUUUGAAGCGCUCGAAAGAUUGAGAUUUUUUUUAUCUACUCGUUCUAAAGAAAGUAAAGCUAACUGGGUAGCGUGGAAAUUGACUUUAAAAUAUUUAAGGCAAUUCGGUGGAUUGAUAGCCGACAAAACGAAUACUUUUCGGCAUGUAUUGGAAGGCAAAACGGAGAAAAAAAGCCAGCUGGAAACAAUGCGCUUCCAAGGUGCGUGUAAUUUUCCCAUUGAGUCUGGGCGCCUUGUACCAGAAAGUGUACAUGAAAGAAAACAUCAUGCAGGAUCUUACAAAGACGUUUGACAACAUAAAACAACAGUAUUUCCUGCUCAUUCAAAAAGUUCGUAAUUUCGAACUAUUUUUAACGAGGGUCCUGAUCUCUUUUUUGUAAAACAGAAGAUUUUUUCCAAUUUCGAAUGAUGCAUUUUAUAUCUUCGGCUUCAAAGAAGGAUCUAGCCAAUUUGACCAUGUGGCGAUUGAUGGCGAUAUUUGCAAAAAAAAUGAGCGGUCACAUGGGGCAGAGAACGCUAGCGUUUCAGAAUAUAUUGGAAAGCAGGCGAGAAAAAAAAGCCAAAUGGAAGGAAUCCGUUUCUAUAGAGCGCUCAACUUUUCCACUGAGUUUGGCCGCUCUGUACCAGAGGCGUUUUGUGGAGGAUCUAACGAAGAUGUUUGGGAAUGUCAAACAACAAUUUAAUGGACUAGUGGCCAAGGACUCACUGCUGAUUUAUGUACCGGCGCCUGGUACAAUAUCAAUCGAGCAACGUUUCUAAAUUACGAUGCAUUAGGAUCACUCAUGGGUCACGAGAUCUCGCACACUGUUGACAACGAAGGGAGACACUUCAUGGUUAAUGACAGCCUUGGGCUACGGUGGGAUCCAGAAAGUGUUCAAAAAUAUUAUGAUAAAAUCGAGUGCUAUAACCAUCAAUAUGACUUGGCAGGCCUCUAUAACACCAUGAAUGGCGUGGAUGGGCUUCCUUUAAGGAGUUUCGGUACAGGCAAUACAAUGUUGCCAUGCUAAAC